rnacentral:tRNA from 1 species
GGUUUCUUGGCGCAGUUGGUUAGCGCGUCUCCUUAACAAUUCUGAUCCAUUCAGAUCGUUAGGGCAUACGGAGGAGGUCGCCGGUUCGAACCUGGCAGAAAUCA